CUUCAGUCUCCGAUUGACCACAGGCCUUCAUAAGGUGUAUCUAAUUGGAGGCUUCAAAACAGCCCCUAGUGGCGUUGCCGGAUUCUUUUGGCUUAAUAAAAACCCUAAUGGUGGAGAGGGGUUCUUGAGCUCUUGAGCCACUCCCGCUCUGUGAAUUGUACUUUCACUUCUUCAGUAAACCUGCACUUUUUUUUUCUCUUUCCUUUUGUUGCUUUGUCUUUCAUUGCUUCGUUCUUUUGUUUCUUUGUGCGUUUUGUUCAAUUAUUUGCUCAACAUGCCCAGAACCUGGACAACUCACAGUAAAGACCUUCCAACAGGCAAAGAGGACCUGAAGAGCUGCAGCCAUCUGGGAAUUGGACUCAGUGGGCCAUGUUUUUCCAGAGAGUGCAGUGUUCUUUUCAAAACUCUCAGUAGAGACCAAUCUUCCUCUACUUUCUGAGUCCUGGGGAAGUAAGUAGAAAGGCUGCAAUGAUAUGGAGUUCCCAACUUUCAGCAUCCCGUCCAAUAGGUGCUACAGACUACAAGUCUUAAAAAACUUGUUCCUCAGAUCACUCACACUUGGACAUCAGAGAGCAACAGUAACUACUUCUAUGGCUGUUUCAGGAGUUUGUUUAGGUAAGUAAAGGAAUUUUUACUUUUCAUUUUGUUGAUUUCUUUCUUGCAUUUUUGCCUUCUCAUUCUUAUCUUUUUUGUUUGUUUAUUUGUUUUGCUUUAGUUUUCAUUUCAAAAAUACUGGGGGAAAUUUAAAUGGGCUAAACCAUGAAGUACCCAGAAAAAUAAUUUAAGGAAGACCAUAAUAAGAAAUAGCAAACUGUGAUAUUGUGAAAUAUGUAUUUGGCCUUCUGGUGUAUAGCUCCAAAAUUUCUUGGAAUCUCUGAAGUGAUUAAAGUGUCUUUUGCAUGCUAAUCAGUUCAAGGUGUGAUUAGAAGGUUGGGACUUUCAGCCCCACCUUCAAUUUUCAGGGAGGGGAGAUUGAUCAUCAAUGAACAACCAUUUAAUAAAUCAUGCCUACAUAAUGAAGCCUCCAUAAAAACCCAAAAGGACUGGGUUCCAGGAGCUUCUAGAUAGUUGACUGUGUGAAAGUUCCUAGAGAGAGG
rnacentral:lncRNA from 1 species